rnacentral:rRNA from 1 species
AACGCUGGCGGCGUGCCUAAUACAUGCAAGUCGAGCGAAUAGAUUAAGAGCUUGCUCUUAUGAAGUUAGCGGCGGACGGGUGAGUAACACGUGGGUAACCUGCCCAUAAGACUGGGAUAACUCCGGGAAACCGGGGCUAAUACCGGAUAACAUUUUGAACUGCAUGGUUCGAAAUUGAAAGGCGGCUUCGGCUGUCACUUAUGGAUGGACCCGCGUCGCAUUAGCUAGUUGGUGAGGUAACGGCUCACCAAGGCAACGAUGCGUAGCCGACCUGAGAGGGUGAUCGGCCACACUGGGACUGAGACACGGCCCAGACUCCUACGGGAGGCAGCAGUAGGGAAUCUUCCGCAAUGGACGAAAGUCUGACGGAGCAACGCCGCGUGAGUGAUGAAGGCUUUCGGGUCGUAAAACUCUGUUGUUAGGGAAGAACAAGUGCUAGUUGAAUAAGCUGGCACCUUGACGGUACCUAACCAGAAAGCCACGGCUAACUACGUGCCAGCAGCCGCGGUAAUACGUAGGUGGCAAGCGUUAUCCGGAAUUAUUGGGCGUAAAGCGCGCGCAGGUGGUUUCUUAAGUCUGAUGUGAAAGCCCACGGCUCAACCGUGGAGGGUCAUUGGAAACUGGGAGACUUGAGUGCAGAAGAGGAAAGUGGAAUUCCAUGUGUAGCGGUGAAAUGCAUAGAGAUAUGGAGGAACACCAGUGGCGGAAGCGACUUUCUGGUCUGUAACUGACACUGAGGCGCGAAAGCGUGGGAGCAACAGGAUUAGAUACCCUGGUAGUCCACGCCGUAACGAUGAGUGCUAAGUGGUUAGAGGUUUC